CCUACGGGAGGCAGCAGUGAGGAAUAUUGGUCAAUGGGCGGGAGCCUGAACCAGCCAAGUCGCGUGAGGGAAGACGGUCCUAUGGAUUGUAAACCUCUUUAGGCGGGGAGCAAUGCCGGGCACGCGUGCCCGGAGGGAGAGUACCCGCAGAAUAAGCAUCGGCUAACUCCGUGCCAGCAGCCGCGGUAAUACGGAGGAUGAGAGCGUUAUCCGGAUGUAUUGGGUUUAAAGGGUGCGUAUGCGGAUUUUUAAGUCAGCGGUAAAAUGUCCGGGCUCAACCCGGGCCGGCCGUUGAAACUGGGGAUCUUGAGUGGGCGAGAAGUAUGCGGAAUGCGUGGUGUAGCGGUGAAAUGCAUAGAUAUCACGCAGAACUCCGAUUGCGAAGGCAGCAUACCGGCGCCCGACUGACGCUGAGGCACGAAAGCGUGGGGAUCGAACAGGAUUAGAUACCCUGGUAGUC
rnacentral:rRNA from 1 species